CCUACGGGAGGCAGCAGUGGGGAAUUUUGCGCAAUGGGGGAAACCCUGACGCAGCAACGCCGCGUGGAGGAUGAAGUCCCUUGGGAUGUAAACUCCUUUCGAUCGGGACGAUUAUGACGGUACCGGAAGAAGAAGCACCGGCUAACUCUGUGCCAGCAGCCGCGGUAAU
rnacentral:rRNA from 2 species